GUCUAGUAAACAUAGCAUAUUGGUCCCACCUGAUCCCAUUCCGAACUCAGAAGUGAAACGGUAUUGCGCCGAUGGUAGUGUGGGGUCUCCCCAUGUGAGAGUAGGUCAUUGCUAGACA
rnacentral:rRNA from 1 species